AUUAUUAUUUCUUUUUUCAAGGUUAAAUAAAAAUCUGUCAUCGUCAUCCUGAUAUUGACAACUGUUUUACAAUCAUCAUUAUUAUCAUUAUCAUCAUCAGCAUAUAGAUGAUUUUUCAAAAAUGAUAAACAGAAUAUCAUACGGUUACAUAAUUCUAAACGAAUGGGCCACUCAGGCGAUUGGGCUUAUUCGGCGGUUACUUUUACCAAC